GACAGAGGAUGCAAGCGUUGUCCGGAAUCAUUGGGCGUAAAGAGCGUGUAGGCGGCCCGGUAAGUCCGCUGUGAAAGUCCAGGGCUCAACCCUGGAAUGCCGGUGGAAACUGUCGGGCUAGAGUCCGGAAGAGGCGAGUGGAAUUCCUGGUGUAGCGGUGAAAUGCGCAGAUAUCAGGAGGAACACCAAUGGCGAAGGCAGCUCGCUGGGACGGUACUGACGCUGAGACGCGAAAGCGUGGGGAGCAAACAGG
rnacentral:rRNA from 1 species